rnacentral:rRNA from 1 species
UUUCUCUUCCGCAAGGACAACCUCCCCGUAGGGGGAAACCUGGCGGAAGGGACUCACUUGUCCGAGACCUUGGCAAAAGCAGACCCGGCGCACACUGUGUAUAACAACGCUCCGGGGCGGUGGCCCCGAACCCCCCCCGUCGGCGCUCGCGCGCCGCUCGGGCUAACAAACCUCGGGCGCGGAAUGCGCCAAGAAAAACUGAAAAGGAACGUCGGCCCCGGCCGCCCGGUUCGCGGAUCGCGUCGGGGGCAGAACGCCUGUCGUAAUACCAAAACGACUCUCGGCAACGAAUAUCUCGGCUCUCGCAUCGAUGAAGAACGUAGCGAAAUGCAAUACUUGGUGUGAAUUGCAGAAUCCCGUGAACCAUCGAGUCUUUGAACGCAAGUGGCGCCCGAAGCGGUCAGGCCGAGGGCACGUCUGCCUGGGCGUCACGCAUGGCGUCGCCCCCCCUCCAAAGGCGUGGGGGGGCGGAGAAUGGCCUCCCGUGCGCCUCGGCGCGCGGCCGGUCCAAAUGCGUUCCCCCGGCGACGCACGUCGCGACCAGUGGUGGUUGAUCUUCAACUCGCGUGCUGUCGCGGCGUCGUCCGUGCGGGGAACUCGUAACAAGACCCAAAGGGCGCACUCUCGCGGUGCGCCUCCGACCGCGACCCCAGGUCAUUC